AAACAUACACAAACGGCUUACACGAGGGUAAGCAAUAGCCAUUAGUGAAAGAAAGGAAAACUAAACAUUCGCUUGUACUAUGAUUCAAUUUAGAUCAUAUACAUACAUCCAACUUGUAUUUUUUCGAAUUCCUUACAUUUCGUUUCAUCAUUUCUUUCUUAUAUCACAUUUACCACAAAAUACACAUUACAUUCUUUUCUUUACAUCAUUUAUCAUCAUGUACAAAAGAUGAUCAUAGGGUACUUUACUACAAAAUGAAAUCCAACUUUGGUGGCCUCUGACUAAGGCGCGAUACCUUUACCUCGGUCGCUCGCCGGCUCGCUCGGUCCCGGCUCU
rnacentral:lncRNA from 1 species